AUUGAACGCUGGCGGCAUGCCUUACACAUGCGAGUCGAACGGCAGCACGGGUGCUUGCACCUGGUGGCGAGUGGCGAACGGGUGAGUAAUACAUCGGAACAUGUCCUGUAGUGGGGGAUAGCCCGGCGAAAGCCGGAUUAAUACCGCAUACGAUCCACGGAUGAAAGCGGGGGACCUUCGGGCCUCGCGCUAUCGGGUUGGCCGAUGGCUGAUUAGCUAGUUGGUGGGGUAAAGGCCUACCAGGGCGACGAUCAGUAGCUGGUCUGAGAGGACGACCAGCCACACUGGGACUGAGACACGGCCCAGACUCCUACGGGAGGCAGCAGUGGGGAAUUUUGGACAAUGGGCGAAAGCCUGAUCCAGCAAUGCCGCGUGUGUGAAGAAGGCCUUCGGGUUGUAAAGCACUUUUGUCCGGAAAGAAAUCCUUGGCUCUAAUACAGUCGGGGGAUGACGGUACCGGAAGAAUAAGCACCGGCUAACUACGG
rnacentral:rRNA from 1 species